GACGAACGCUGGCGGCGUGCUUAACACAUGCAAGUCGAACGGAAAGGCCCUGCUUUUGUGGGGUGCUCGAGUGGCGAACGGGUGAGUAACACGUGAGUAACCUGCCCUUGACUUUGGGAUAACUUCAGGAAACUGGGGAUAAUACCGGAUAGGAGCUCCUGCUGCAUGGUGGGGGUUGGAAAGUUUCGGCGGUUGGGGAUGGACUCGCGGCUUAUCAGCUUGUUGGUGGGGUAGUGGCUUACCAAGGUUUUGACGGGUAGCCGGCCUGAGAGGGUGACCGGCCACAUUGGGACUGAGAUACGGCCCAGACGCCAACGGGAGGCAGCAGGGGGGAAUAUUGCACAAUGGGCGGAAGCCUGAUGCAGCAACGCCGCGUGCGGGAUGACGGCCUUCGGGUUGUAAACCGCUUUCGCCUGUGACGAAGCGUGAGUGACGGUAAUGGGUAAAGAAGCACCGGCUAACUACGUG
rnacentral:rRNA from 1 species